CAGCCGCCGCGGUAAUACGGAGGGUGCAAGCGUUAUCCGGAUUCACUGGGUUUAAAGGGUGCGUAGGCGGGUAUGUAAGUCAGUGGUGAAAUCUCGGAGCUUAACCCCGAAACUGCCAUUGAUACUAUAUAUCUUGAAUAUUGUGGAGGUUUGCGGAAUAUGUCAUGUAGCGGUGAAAUGCUUAGAUAUGACAUAGAACACCUAUUGCGAAGGCAGCAGGCUACACAUAUAUUGACGCUGAGGCACGAAAGCGUGGGGAUCAAACAGGAUUAGAUACCCUGGUAGUCCACGCCCUAAACGAUGGAUACUCGACAUACGCGAUACACUGUGUGUGUCUGAGCGAAAGCAUUAAGUAUCCCACCUGGGAAGUACGACCGCAAGGUUGAAACUUAAAGGAAUUGGCGG
rnacentral:rRNA from 1 species